CUCCCCUCAACCUGCUGAUCAUCAUACUAGGAGGAUUGCACCUAGAGUGACCGGUUUCACGUUCGUCGGAGCUCGGUAAGUUUUCAAUCCGAAACGAAAAUCUUUCGAUCGGUAUAUCUCGAGCUGUAGUGCAUCGUUUUGAUUGAUUCUUGAACCAGUGAGUUCUCCUUGAUGUUCUUAACAACUCUCUAGAAGGGAUCGAAGCCUGAAAUUGAAGUUUUGACGUCGAAAUCAAGCCUUGCCGGAUUCUGCAAAUUUCGCCGGAUUCUGGAAAUUUUCCGGCCACCUCGACUGUUUUAGGUGAUUGACGGAUCGAUUUGGCGGACAAUUUGUGAAAUUGUUGUUGAGCUGUUAAGAAGAUGCAGCUGGAUUAGAGCGGGUAAUCCUACAGGUCAAGAGAAUCAGGACGGAGAUCGAGCUGCGUAGAGUAGCUGCAAUUGUGUCAAUCUGAAUUGCUUUGUGAGCCGGUGAGGUGUGUUAUGCUCAUUUAGAGCUUUACAAUAUUUCUUGUGAGAGUGAAUUGUAAUAAUUAACUCGAAGUUUACCGAUUUGGAAAUUUUGUGUAAGUGGUGGAGUUGUUUCUGAGAAAAGAAUUCAGAACGUUUAUUUGUUUAAGUUGUUUAAUUCAUGUUUCGGAUUUUGAAUGUGUUAUUCAAAAUUCGGGGC